AGAGACAUGAGCUCUGGGGGUUGGG
rnacentral:misc_RNA from 1 species